AUAGGGUAGGGUGGAAAGCUGCCCAACAGUGCCUCCUGAUACACAUGAGCAUCGCAGUCAUUAACACACUGCAGCCUCGGCUACCCAAUAAACCCCUUGAAAUUCAGGAUGAGCUCGAGGGAUGUGCUAGGAGGUAUAGAUAACUUGGAAAGACCUUAUUCUUGAGUGGUUCUCGAGUGAUCCCGAUUAGUCCGUUAAUUUCCAUCUGUUACUGGUGAAGGCGCGGCAUCGUUGUGCAGGCUGCUUCUUGAGGGACAGGGCCUUUCAUUGGCCUAGAACUCACUACACUGACUGGGAUCCUAUACUGGGAUUACACAAAUGCUUGGCAUUUCACACGCGGGUUAUGGAGAUUGAAUACAUGCCCUCGUGCUUAUAAG